rnacentral:rRNA from 1 species
GACGAACGCUGGCGGCGUGCUUAACACAUGCAAGUCGAACGGUGAAGGGAUCAGCUUGCUGGUUCUGGAUGAGUGGCGAACGGGUGAGUAACACGUGAGUAACCUGCCCCCUUCUUCUGGAUAACCGCAUGAAAGUGUGGCUAAUACGGGAUAUUCUGCGCCUGCUGCAUGGUGGGUGUGGGAAAGAUAUUGUUUCGGUGGGGGAUGGGCUCGCGGCCUAUCAGCUUGUUGGUGGGGUGAUGGCCUACCAAGGCGGUGACGGGUAGCCGGCCUGAGAGGGUGGACGGUCACACUGGGACUGAGACACGGCCCAGACUCAUACGGGAGGCAGCAGUGGGGAAUAGUGCACAAUGGGCGCAAGCCUGAUGCAGCGACGCAGCGUGAGGGAUGGAGGCCUUCGGGUUGUGAACCUCUUUCGCCAGUGAAGCAGGCCUGUCCCUUGUGGGUGGGUUGACGGUAGCUGGAUAAGAAGCGCCGGCUAACUACGUG